rnacentral:lncRNA from 1 species
UUGAGCAGCCGCGCCUCUUCUUCUCCAUUUCUUCAUCUGCUUCACUCACAAAAUCCAAGCAAUCAAAUUCUCCAAUUGAGCAGGUUAUAUUAUACCAAACUUUUUUCCUUUUUAUUUAUUCAAACAAAUUCGAUCCAGAGGGUGAAGAUGAGAGAGAAGAGAGACUUAGAAAAACAAUCAGAGGGAGUUUGCUAUUUGUCG